CCUACGGGAGGCAGCAGUAAGGAAUAUUGGUCAAUGGACGCAAGUCUGAACCAGCCAUGCCGCGUGAAGGAUUAAGGCCCUCUGGGUUGUAAACUUCUUUUAUAGGGGACGAAAAAAGGGCAUUCUUGCUCACUUGACGGUACCCUAGGAAUAAGCACCGGCUAACUCCGUGCCAGCAGCCGCGGUAAUACGGAGGGUGCAAGCGUUAUCCGGAUUUACUGGGUUUAAAGGGUGCGUAGGUGGGUUGGUAAGUCAGUGGUGAAAUCUUCGAGCUUAACUCGGAAACUGCCAUUGAUACUAUCAAUCUUGAAUCAUCUAGAGGUAAGCGGAAUAUGUCAUGUAGCGGUGAAAUGCUUAGAUAUGACAUAGAACACCGAUUGCGAAGGCAGCUUACUAUGGAUGUAUUGACACUGAGGCACGAAAGCGUGGGGAUCAAACAGGAUUAGAUACCCUGGUAGUCCACGCCCUAAACGAUGGAUACUCGACAUUUGUGAUAUACUAUAAGUGUCUGAGNGAAGANAUAGUAUCCACCNGGAGACGACGCGAGUAGAACGUACAAGAGUAGUAGCGNGAGAGAGACGACGACGACGACGACGGAGGGAGGAG
rnacentral:rRNA from 1 species